GACGAACGCUGGCGGCGUGCUUAACACAUGCAAGUCGAACGGAAAGGCCCUGCUUUUGUGGGGUGCUCGAGUGGCGAACGGGUGAGUAACACGUGAGUAACCUGCCCUUGACUUUGGGAUAACUUCAGGAAACUGGGGCUAAUACCGGAUAGGAGCUCCUGAUGCAUGGUGGGGGUUGGAAAGUUUCGGCGGUUGGGGAUGGACUCGCGGCUUAUCAGCUUGUUGGUGGGGUAGUGGCUUACCAAGGCUUUGACGGGUAGCCGGCCUGAGAGGGUGAACGGCCACAAUGGGACUGAGAUACGGCCCAGACUCCUACGGGAGGCAGCAGUGGGGAAUAUUGCACAAUGGGCGGAAGCCUGAUGCAGCAACGCCGCGUGCGGGAUGACGGCCUUCGGGUUGUAAACCGCUUUCGCCUGUGACGAAGCGGGAGUGACGGUAAUGGGUAAAGAAGCACCGGCUAACUAUGUG
rnacentral:rRNA from 1 species